rnacentral:lncRNA from 1 species
GUGACAUAUCCAUUCGAGGGAUGUAAACCAACUUUCCAUAACCUUUUCCGUCCAUUAUUGAAGUUUCAAGGACAUGAUUUCCCAUCUUUUUUAUGAGCAAGCUUGUGCCAUUACACAAACCUUCAGACCGAUCGAUGUUUCACAUAAGCAUAAUAGAUGUUAUAACCUUUAACUUAAUGUGAUGGUUAGGAAAAUCAGAAGUUCGUAGUGCACUGAGG